rnacentral:rRNA from 1 species
AACGAACGCUGGCGGCAUGCCUAACACAUGCAAGUCGAACGAGACCUUCGGGUCUAGUGGCGCACGGGUGCGUAACGCGUGGGAACCUGCCCUUAGGUUCGGAAUAACUCCCCGAAAGGGGUGCUAAUACCGGAUAAUGUCUUCGGACCAAAGAUUUAUCGCCUUUGGAUGGGCCCGCGUUGGAUUAGCUAGUUGGUAGGGUAAAAGCCUACCAAGGCGACGAUCCAUAGCUGGUCUGAGAGGAUGAUCAGCCACACUGGGACUGAGACACGGCCCAGACUCCUACGGGAGGCAGCAGUGGGGAAUAUUGGACAAUGGGCGAAAGCCUGAUCCAGCAAUGCCGCGUGAGUGAUGAAGGCCUUAGGGUUGUAAAGCUCUUUUACCCGGGAUGAUAAUGAUAGUACCGGGAGAAUAAGCUCCGGCUAACUCCGUG